AGCCUUGAGGUGUUACCACGUUAGAUUGCAAGUCUAAAGAAGCAGGAUAAUUACCUGCCGGGGCUU
rnacentral:tRNA from 2 species